rnacentral:rRNA from 1 species
UACGUAGGGUGCAAGCGUUGUCCGGAAUCAUUGGGCGUAAAGAGCGUGUAGGCGGCUCGAUUAGUCCGCUGUAAAAGUCCAGGGCUCAACCCUGGGAUGCCGGUGGAAACUGUCGGGCUAGAGUCCGGGAGAGGCGAGUGGAAUUCCUGGUGUAGCGGUGAAAUGCGCAGAUAUCAGGAGGAACACCAAUGGCGAAGGCAGCUCGCUGGAACGGUACUGACGCUGGAGACGUGAAAGCGUGGGGAGCAAACAGG